CCUCAGGCCAGGCUGCUCGCUUUACUUUCCACCGCCCACCAAGCACUGCCACAAGCUCCUCCUGUCCAAUUCCAAGGAGCACCACCAAAACCUUCGUGAGGGUCAGCAUACUGGAAGCAAAAUUCCAGGAAAGUAUUUGCAGUGCCUGAACCACAGAUGGAACUGCUACAAGUCAAUAAAAGGAAGAGGUUGAGUCGAAGAGAAGAUACCGGCCUUCAAGAGGUUAUGGCAGACAUUGAAGAGGUUGUCGAAGCAGCCCAGGGACUAAAAGAAGUUUCGAAGAUGAUUAAGGAUUUGAGUGGAUUUGCACAUUCCACAGUGACAACAACCCUGUCUCUUUCAGAGGCUGAAGUAGCUUCUUUAAGAGUGGUUUUUGCCUGUCUUGUCUGCAAAGGUCCUGUAGACAAGCCAAUGUUCUCAACAUGCUGCAGAACCCUAAUCGGGUGUAAGGCAUGUGUUGUGGAGUGGAACAGCAGCCACAGUUACUGCCCGAAGUGUCACGCUGUGGAUUUG